rnacentral:rRNA from 1 species
GACGAACGCUGGCGGCGUGCUUAACACAUGCAAGUCGAACGGUGAUGGGUGCUUGCACCUUGAUCAGUGGCGAACGGGUGAGUAACACGUGAGCAACCUGCCCCCGACUCUGGGAUAACCCCGGGAAACCGGAGCUAAUACCGGAUAUGGGGCGCCUGGGCAUCCGGGCGUCUGGAAAGAAUUUCGGUCGGGGAUGGGCUCGCGGCCUAUGAGCUUGUUGGUGGGGUAAUGGCCUACCAAGGCGACGACGGGUAGCCGGCCUGAGAGGGCGAGCGGCCACACUGGGACGGAGACACGGCCCAGACUCCUACGGGAGGCAGGAGUGGGGAAUAUUGAACCAUGGGCGCAAGCAUGAUGCAGCGACGCAGCGUGAGGGAUGAAGGCCUUCGGGUUGUAAACCUCUUUCAGCAGGGAAGAAGCGCAAGUGACGGUACCUGCAGAAGAAGCGCCGGCUAACUACGUGCCAGCCGCCGCCGUAACAC